GAUGAACGCUGGCGGCGUGCCUAAUACAUGCAAGUCGAGCGAACAGAUGAGGAGCUUGCUCCUCUGACGUUAGCGGCGGACGGGUGAGUAACACGUGGAUAACCUACCUAUAAGACUGGGAUAACUUCGGGAAACCGGAGCUAAUACCGGAUAAUAUAUUGAACCGCAUGGUUCAAUAGUGAAAGACGGUUUUGCUGUCACUUAUAGAUGGAUCUGCGCCGCAUUAGCUAGUUGGUAAGGUAACGGCCUACCAAGGCAACGAUGCGUAGCCGACCUGAGAGGGUGAUCGGCCACACUGGAACUGAGACACGGUCCAGACGCCUACGGGAGGCAGCAGUAGGGAAUCUUCCGCAAUGGGCGAAAGCCUGACGGAGCAACGCCGCGUGAGUGAUGAAGGUCUUCGGAUCGUAAAACUCUGUUAUUAGGGAAGAACAAAUGUGUAAGUAACUAUGCACGUCUUGACGGUACCUAAUCAGAAAGCCACGGCUAACUACGUG
rnacentral:rRNA from 1 species